UGCUGCGUUAACAACCAACCUAACACAAUUUUAUUAUAUAAGCAUUCAACAACUUUGCUCGUCUACACGUGUAUGGUAGGCUGACUUAAUAGUUAGUCGACGUGCCUCUGUAGGAGCAGGCAACGUCCGAGUCAUUCUGCACGUUUCCUUAACAAUACAAGAGUUUGUCACGAAAUUUCUACAGCCAAGGAAGACCACCUCCGGGUGGAAGAUUGGGCAUUUCCUGGUCUAUAAGAUGUUGGAGCAGCUG